AGCCGAUGAAGGACGUUACUAACGACGAUAUGCUUUGGGGAGCUGUAAGUAAGCUUUGAUCCAGAGAUUUCCGAAUGGGGAAACCCAGCAUGAGUUAUGUCAUGUUAUCGAUAUGUGAAUACAUAGCAUAUCAGAAGGCACACCCGGAGAACUGAAACAUCUUAGUACCCGGAGGAAGAGAAAGAAAAUUCGAUUCCCUUAGUAGCGGCGAGCGAAACGGGAAGAGCCCAAACCAACAAGCUUGCUUGUUGGGGUUGUAGGACACUCUAUACGGAGUUACAAAGGACGACAUUAGACGAAUCAUCUGGAAAGAUGAAUCAAAGAAGGUAAUAAUCCUGUAGUCGAAAAUGUUGUCUCUCUUGAGUGGAUCCUGAGUACGACGGAGCACGUGAAAUUCCGUCGGAAUCUGGGAGGACCAUCUCCUAAGGCUAAAUACUCUCUAGUGACCGAUAGUGAACCAGUACCGUGAGGGAAAGGUGAAAAGCACCCCGGAAGGGGAGUGAAAUAGAACCUGAAACCGUGUGCUUACAAGUAGUCAGAGCCCGUUAAUGGGUGAUGGCGUGCCUUUUGUAGAAUGAACCGGCGAGUUACGAUUUGAUGCAAGGUUAAGCAGUAAAUGUGGAGCCGUAGCGAAAGCGAGUCUGAAUAGGGCGUUUAGUAUUUGGUCGUAGACCCGAAACCAGGUGAUCUACCCUUGGUCAGGUUGAAGUUCAGGUAACACUGAAUGGAGGACCGAACCGACUUACGUUGAAAAGUGAGCGGAUGAACUGAGGGUAGCGGAGAAAUUCCAAUCGAACCUGGAGAUAGCUGGUUCUCUCCGAAAUAGCUUUAGGGCUAGCCUCAAGUGAUGAUUAUUGGAGGUAGAGCACUGUUUGGACGAGGGGCCCCUCUCGGGUUACCGAAUUCAGACAAACUCCGAAUGCCAAUUAAUUUAACUUGGGAGUCAGAACAUGGGUGAUAAGGUCCGUGUUCGAAAGGGAAACAGCCCAGACCACCAGCUAAGGUCCCAAAAUAUAUGUUAAGUGGAAAAGGAUGUGGCGUUGCCCAGACAACUAGGAUGUUGGCUUAGAAGCAGCCAUCAUUUAAAGAGUGCGUAAUAGCUCACUAGUCGAGUGACACUGCGCCGAAAAUGUACCGGGGCUAAACAUAUUACCGAAGCUGUGGAUUGUCCUUUGGACAAUGGUAGGAGAGCGUUCUAAGGGCGUUGAAGCAUGAUCGUAAGGACAUGUGGAGCGCUUAGAAGUGAGAAUGCCGGUGUGAGUAGCGAAAGACGGGUGAGAAUCCCGUCCACCGAUUGACUAAGGUUUCCAGAGGAAGGCUCGUCCGCUCUGGGUUAGUCGGGUCCUAAGCUGAGGCCGACAGGCGUAGGCGAUGGAUAACAGGUUGAUAUUCCUGUACCACCUAUAAUCGUUUUAAUCGAUGGGGGGACGCAGUAGGAUAGGCGAAGCGUG
rnacentral:rRNA from 1 species